rnacentral:lncRNA from 1 species
AAGUUGGUGGUAGGAAACUUCCUAACGUGAGUGGAGCUGGUGAUUUGGUCUGUGUAGGGACUCGAGUAGUCAUCUGUGAGGCGGUGGGUGGGUGAGGGCGACGACGGCGUGCCAUUUCCGGCGAAAUUAGCGUCUUGCUAACCUACGCUAUAAUGGCAAUGUAACAGUUGCCUUAUCGUGCGCCGAGAGAAAGUUUAAGCAUGC